UACAGAGGCCACGAGCGUUAGGCGGAAUCACUGGGCUUAAAGCGUGUGUAGGUGGAUGGGUAAGUACCUUGUGAAAUCCCACGGCUCAACCGUGGAACUGCUUGGUAUACUGCCCGUCUUGAGGCACUCAGGGGCGAGCGGAACAGAUGGUGGAGCGGUGAAAUGCGUAGAUAUCAUCUGGAACGCCAAUGGUGAAGACAGCUCGCUGGGGGUGUACUGACACUGAGACACGAAAGCCAGGGGAGCAAACGGG
rnacentral:rRNA from 1 species